ensembl:lncRNA
CGGUGACCGAUAUCCAAGAAAAAUACACUCAGUAAAUAUUUACUCUACAGUAUAUCAUAUAUACUGUAUGUGUCCUAUUUCCUGAAAGUAUUUUACUUUAAACAGAGUUUACAUGAUACUGUAAUUAGUUUACUUAAUUUUGUGUUGUCAUACAUAUGAAGUGAAGCAUGUAUAAAUAAACAUGAGGCAAUGUAUUUAUGAUUGCAUAUGUUAUUGUAGUGUACUUGACUCUUAUUAUGAAGUCUUUUCAGAGAAUGUUGUGUUUGUGUGUGUUAUCUAAAGGCAACAGGACUGAAUAAUAGCAUGUAGUUGUUUUUGUCCCCUCAUACUAUCCAUCCAUCCAGGUGCUCCACACUCCAGCCCAGCAGGUGGCAAAAUCCCUUUAACGCUGGUUUGCCACAGGCAUUAAAUGACAAAAGAAGUAGAAGUAGUUCAGUUUUUAAGUAAAUUGUGUACUAAAUAGUAUCCCUUUUUACCCCACAUAUUAUGUUAUAGGAAACCAUCAACCACUGAGAUGCACCUUUGCUGUGACGUUUUAACGAGCCUACAAUGAUUUGGAUGUUGUUCAGAUGGCUGUCCAACAGAGGACAGUCUAUGCAAGAUUACAUCAUCAAAAAGGGGACUCGAAGGAGGACCACUGGACUUAGGAAGGCAUUUAGGACAGAGCCCAUAUUUGCAUUGGCCAGACAUGACAUCAUAACGACUGGUUUAGCUCCUGCCUCUCACCCCAUUCCUUGCUUUUCUCCAGGGUUGUAAACUCAGAAUUUAAUGGUUCCCAUUAUUAGAGAGGAAAAUUAAAGCCUGAACCUGAGUAACUUUCUCUCUCUCUGUCUUUCUGCCUCUCUCUCACUCACUCA